UACAGAGGGUGCGAGCGUUAAUCGGAAUUACUGGGCGUAAAGCGUGCGUAGACGGCUAUCUAAGUCGGGUGUGAAAGCCCCGGGCUCAACCUGGGAAUUGCAUUCGAGACUGAAUAGCUAGGGUACGGUAGAGGGAAGUGGAAUUUCCGGUGUAGCGGUGAAAUGCGCAGAUAUCGGGAGGAACACCCGUAGCGAAGGCGGCACUCUGGGCCGGUACUGACGCUGAGACGCGAAAGCGUGGGGAGCGAACAGG
rnacentral:rRNA from 1 species